GGAAUCUUCGGCAAUGGACGAAAGUCUGACCGAGCAACGCCGCGUGAGUGAAGAAGGUUUUCGGAUCGUAAAGCUCUGUUGUUGGUGAAGAAGGAUAGAGGCAGUAACUGGUCUUUAUUUGACGGUAAUCAACCAGAAAGUCACGGCUAACUACGUGCCAG
rnacentral:rRNA from 1 species